rnacentral:rRNA from 1 species
UACGUAGGGGGCAAGCGUUGUCCGGAUUUAUUGGGCGUAAAGGGCGCGUAGGCGAUCUGACAAGUCUGGUGUGAAAGCCCACAUGUUAACUGUGGAAGUGCAUUAGAAACUGUUGGAUUUGAGUUCAGGAGAGGAAGGCAGAAUUCCCGGUGUAGCGGUGAAAUGCGUAGAUAUCGUAAGGAAGACCAGUGGCGAAGGCGGGUCUCUGGACAGUUCCUGACGCUGAGGCACGAAGGUCAGGGGAGCAAACGGG